AUGCAGUCGAGCGGUAACCAGAGAGCUUGCUCUCGGGUGACGAGCGGCGGACGGGUGAGUAAUGUCUGGGAAACUGCCUGAUGGAGGGGGAUAACUACUGGAAACGGUAGCUAAUACCGCAUAACGUCGCAAGACCAAAGAGGGGGACCUUCGGGCCUCUUGCCAUCASAUGUGCCCAGAUGGGAUUAGCUAGUAGGUGGGGUAACGGCUCACCUAGGCGACGAUCCCUAGCUGGUCUGAGAGGAUGACCAGCCACACUGGAACUGAGACACGGUCCAGACUCCUACGGGAGGCAGCAGUGGGGAAUAUUGCACAAUGGGCGCAAGCCUGAUGCASCCAUGCCSCGUGUAUGAAGAAGGCCUUCKGGUUGUAAAGUACUUUCAGCGGGGAGGAAGGUGUUGAGGUUAAUAACCUCAGCAAUUGACGUUACCCGCAGAAAAAACACCGGCUAACUCCGUGCCAACASCCGCGGUAAUACGGAGGGUGCAAGCGUUAAUCGGAAUUACUGGGCGUAAAGCGCACGCAGGCGGUCUGUCAAGUCGGAUGUGAAAUCYCCGGGCUCAACCUGGGAACUGCAUUCUAAACUGGGAGGCUAUAGUCUUGUAGAGGGGGGUAGAAUUCCASGUGUAGCGGUGAAAUGCGUAGAGAUCUGGAGGAAUACCGGUGGCGAAGGCGGCCCCCUG
rnacentral:rRNA from 1 species